rnacentral:rRNA from 1 species
UACAGAGGUCUCAAGCGUUGUUCGGAUUCAUUGGGCGUAAAGAGCGUGUAGGCGGCCUGACAAGUCUGCUGUGAAAACUCGAGGCUCAACCUCGAGCUGUCGGUGGAAACUGUCUGGCUAGAGUCCGGAAGAGGAGAGUGGAAUUCCUGGUGUAGCGGUGAAAUGCGCAGAUAUCAGGAGGAACACCGGUGGCGAAGGCGGGUCUCUGGGCCUGUGACUGACGCUGAGGAACGAAAGCGUGGGGAGCGAACAGG